rnacentral:rRNA from 1 species
GAUGAACGCUGACAGAAUGCUUAACACAUGCAAGUCGAUGGGGAAGUGGUGCUUGCGCCAUGGCAACCAUGGCGGACGGGUGAGUAACGCGCAAGGGACUUACCUGCAGGACUGGGAUAACUGGGGGAAACUCCUGACAAGACCGGAUAAUGUCAUGGAGCUGCAUGGCUUUAUGAUGAAAGGAGACGCCUGCGGAGAGCCUUGCGUCCUAUUAGCUAGUUGGUGAGGUAAUGGCUCACCAAGGCGAAGAUAGUGAGCAGGCCUGAGAGGAUGGACGGCCACAAGGGGACGGAGAUACGGCGGUGACGCCUACGAGAGGCAGCAGUGGGGAAUAAUGGAGGAUGGGGGCAACACUGAUGCAGCAAUUCUGUGUGGACGAAGAAGGUUUUCGGAGUGUAAAGAGGUUUCAGUAGGGAAGAAGUAAGUGACGGUACCGGGAGAAGAAGCGACGGCUAAAUACGUG